CUUCCCUGCGAUGGGAGAAGCUUCUGAUUUCCAUGAUGGUCCUUUCCGAGAAAUCUUACCUGCCAUAAGAAUAAUAUCAAGCAUUCUAGGUUUCAAAAACAGCAACAAAGGCACACACAGGUCUUCUUCUCAAUGGCUGACUCAUCUCCUUUCACUCUGACUGCCUCCAAUCAGCAGGAAAGGACAAGGAGGAACCUAUCCCUACUCUUUCCAUGUUAUUCCUACCGCUGGUACCAAAGUUUCUACGAAAUAAGUAAUGUCCAGGAACGCAUCUACUUCGUUAACUGAGUUGUGUUUGGACCUGGUUGCUUGGUUCAGCUCAUCUUGCAGACUCAAGUUCACUGUGACAUUUGGAACACUGACAAUUCCCCAAAGGGUAUGGGCUAUUCUAGUCUUUAGAUACAAUUGUAAGCUUUUUGUAGACUGAAAAUAAGUUAGAUGAAGAAUAAAAAUAUUUAUUAAUAAAGAUUACACAUAU